UACGUAGGGUGCAAGCGUUAAUCGGAAUUACGGGGCGUAAAGCGUGCGCAGGCGGCUUUGCAAGACAGAUGUGAAAUCCCCGGGCUCAACCUGGGAACUGCAUUUGUGACUGCAUGGCUAGAGUACGGUAGAGGGGGAUGGAAUUCCGCGUGUAGCAGUGAAAUGCGUAGAUAUGCGGAGGAACACCGAUGGCGAAGGCAAUCCCCUGGACCUGUACUGACGCUCAUGCACGAAAGCGUGGGGAGCAAACAGG
rnacentral:rRNA from 1 species